UUCCCAGCAGAAGAAUUGACAGCUCUAAGUGGCUUCCUUUGAACUUUAUCUGCUUUUGUCAAGAGUCCAAAGCUCAUAAACACAGCAAAGAAAGAUUCAGUAAAAUGGGGCAUUCAAACCCAGCUGGGCCUCAGUUAUUUCCAGCAGAAAUGUUUUAAUGCCAUCUCAUCUCCUGGCGUGUUUGGGACGCUAAGAGCAGAUAAUCUCAGAACAUGGAGGUGGGAAGAGCCUCUGCCACCCACCAUUGUACCCACACAGUGUCAGUCCCAGGGAGAGCCAAGGACGGAGGGCUGGGUGGGAGGGUGGCAAGGAGGAUUUGGCACAGGAGCAUUUGGAUGGUGUCAGGGAUCAGAGAUGUCCUGUGCCUGCUCAGCCCCUGUGAGUGAUGCUGUUGGUUCUUCCUGGGGUUCAGAGACGCUGGAGGUGGAGGGUUCCAUUUAGAACUUGUUAAGUGAUCCUGUUUGGCCUUUGUUGUUUUCUUCAGUUUGGGGGUUGGCGCUGCAGGAAGAUGGAUUUCAGGAAUGGGGCUCUGUCCCUGUGCUCACAAGGGGCCUUCUGUCAGCACUGGCUGACUCAGGACAUCUCUAAUCUUCCUUUACAACACAGAGGGCAAGAAACCUUCCCCAGCUCUGUCCUGUCUCCUUGUCUACUGUGACAUUAGGAUGGCAGGGACGCACCUCAGUACAGAAAUUCCAUAGGGAAUUUCAUUCACAGCAUUUUCCCAGAGCUUUGGCCUCACUUAAUGAAGUCAUAGCACAACUCAGAGGCCUGGGACAUUUGAGGAUGCUGUUGAUAACUGAUGCCUAAUAACUGUGGUACCAUCAUAGCACAGCUAAAAUCACACUGCUCGUUUUGUGCCAGUGGAACACCAGUGACUCUAACACACCAGAUGAAACAAAAAGAUUGUCUUUUCCCUACAUCCUUUUCCUCCAUCAUAACUGCCAAAGCUGCUCAGAGCUGCAGCAGGGACUGCUCACACCUGGGCAGCCAGGACUGCUGCUCACUCCAGGCAAUGUGAGGAUUUGAUAAAAUAAACUCAAGAAUUCUAGCUUGCUUGAGAAAUUCAAAUCUCAGAUUAUCAUGCAGCUGCCAAACUCCAAGCAAUGACUUAAUAGCAAGUGUAAUUACUUUAAUGAAUCAGAUACAACAAAUUGGAUAAUGCCCUGAAGAAUGUUCUUUUGAGCCCACAUUGGCAGAUGGCUGGGAUGGCUCGACAGAGGAGUAGGCUUGCUAACAGUGCUUUGGGGAUAAAAAAUAAAAAAGGCAACCAACAAACAAUUAAAAACAACUUAGAAUAAACCCACUGCUAGGCUAGAUUUACAGCCUGAGCCUCUGUGGGUUAGGGGGUGUUGCUGAGGAGCUGUAUUUUCACAAGUGAGGAAUCACUCCAUGAUUUGAUGAAGGCAGUAAACAACAGGACUCAUCUCUUUGCAAUGAUUUUGCUUCUAUUUUUCCAGGUGUAAAAAUGAGAUAUUCUCUUCUGCUGUUCAAAAUGUACAGCUUAUGAGUCUUCAUCUCUGUCUUAAUUAUAGCACUAGUUCUAAAGAGCAAAGAUCUCUUAUGCAAAUACAUAUCCUGGGCAAUGCUGCUUCACUUGAGUUACCACAGCUUCAGCAGGGAGAAAGGAAUCUGAUUUACUUCUCAUCAGACCAUGAAUCUUUUGUUUCUGUCUUGCAACCUCUGUGCAAUGCAAAGUUUUAUCUGGUGUUCAGACUGAGGCAAUUUCUCAUUGCACCUGGGCUAGCUGGGACCUGGACACUGCUUUGCUGAGUCAUACAAAGUGUUCUAUUCAUAACAGAUGUCAUCCAUGUUUAUAAUAUCAUUUUAGAGUUCAUCUUUCAGGGUGAAAGAACAAUACUUCCACUGUCUAAGCAGGAUACUAACUCAUAAGCAUGCCCCAAAACAAAAACAGUGCUUAAAAAUUAAUCUUAUUAUGCCAAUAUUGCAAUUAAAUUGCUGUAAAGAAAAUUAAAUUAACCCCAAAAUACAUAUCAGGUAAAAUUUUAGAUUAAAUUACUAUUGUGUUGCUGCAAGGUUCAGAUUUCUCUAGUUACUCUCUAUAGCUGAAAUUCUGUACAGCUCUGUUGAUUGAGUUCCAGUUAUGAAUAUCAGACUGCUUUAGGGAGGUGAGCAAGAACAAUUAUCCAGUUUAGCAGAGUGAAAAACAAAACAUGGAAGGGUCAUUUGUCAAACAUCAAAUCAGUGGCAGAACGUGAAUUUCAAUCUGGUGUUCACAUCAUGGGCAUAACCCUACUAAGGCUCUUCCUAGGAAGUGUUUCUGUAGAAUUGUCAUUCCAAAAAGGACAAUGGCCUAGAAGCAAGUCCCAAACACUCUCUAGGAGGUAAAGUCAGGUUUCAUAGGGGAUAGCCUUGUAUUCAGAUUUAGGGCUCACAGGGAGUGUUCAGCUUGGUUUUUCUAUUGCUUGAAAGCAAGUCCUUGCUAAAUCCUUUCCAGAGCUGGAAAUUAACCCAGCAGUAAAGGCAGUCUCAGUGUUUAUGUGACACUUCUGUCUCAUUUUUCACCCAAAUUAACUCAACCCCCUCAAAAGCCAUGAGCAGUUCUAUCUGGGCUCCUCAGUGCCAUGUAGACACUGGAUCAGUAUUGUUCAGUUAUUUUUCAAAUGAUGGAUCUGAUUUUGCUAAAACCAUUAAAAUGUGUUCAGCUUAUUGGGCAAAUCCUCCUUUUCAGAGUGGGUUCCCAUCAAGACUGAGAAAGGAGCACGAAGGUUCAGGAGACUGAAGGACUCUGGUUGUGCAGCUCCUGAGAAAGGUUUAUCAGGAGACACAGCUCUUCCUCAUUCAGUAUUUCCUGUGAUUUCAGCAAUGCUUUUCAGAUACCAUGGGAUACAAAAUUUAAUGUGCAGCAAGCACAUUGAGCAGAGCUGCUACUUUUUCCCCCCCAUUCCCCUUUGCAUUUCCCUUAUUUGUAAUAUACUCACUUAUAAUUCUCAUCAUUUGUAUUUUUCUUCUUCUUCUAGCCUACAAGUACCAUUUAAAAUUAUACUCCCAUCAGUAAUGCUACUCCAAUCACAGUCUGGGGAUCUCUAGUUGACAGCAGGGAGCAACAACAUAGAUUGAUAUCUCUAUAAGUAGGCAAAAAAUUGACACACAACUCAGCAGAGUUCCCAGUUUACAAGAAUUCCCCCGCACCAACCAUUUGUGCAUUCAUGUGAAGAGGAUAGGAAGCAGUCAAUGCUGCUAUUCAAAAUAAAAAAUAAACAGACAUGUGAUUUAAUUUUGAAGAAAGUUCCCAGACUUUUGCAUUCAUACUCUGCAUUGUACAUUGUAAAAUUCGUGAAGAGAAUGCAAUUUACCCCUGCAGACAAAAAUACAAGAACUUGUUAUUGUUCUUUAUCUCCCUACCAGGCAGAAGACUUGGUAAAAGCUUUCAGUAUUGAGUAUGAAAGAAAGGGGGCAUUUAAGUGAGAGCUUCCAGUAGCCAUGGAUAGAUUCUGUAGAGUCUCACAGGAACAUCCCUGUCCCAUUUCUUUGCUCCACCAAGCACAUAUAAUGCCAGUUAAAAUCUCCCAUCUCCAAACUCUCAUUUCUUGUUCCUUUUUCUCCAGCCACACUGGGGACCCCCAGCCUGUCACCCAUCUCUUUCCUUCCCCAGCUGCCAUCCCAUCUCUUUGCCCAGGCAAGGUAUAUUUUCCCUCUUUUGGACUUCAGCUCCCUCCACCUCCCAGUGAUACCCACACACUUUUAUUUAAUCACAGUUCCUGCCUACCCUGAGUGCUGUUUGAGCUUUUUCUCCAAUAAGGUGCAGUUUUCACCCUUUCUGCUUUCAAACCCAGAGUUUCCUUUUCCCCACUCAGGAAAAGAAACCAAACAAUCUCCUCUCAGCUCUCUAUAGACAAGACCUCAGAAGUGUAACAGACAGGAAAUCCUGCUUCCAUUUAGGGUGGAAAAUGCCUGAGAGGGAUGAAACUUAUGGACAUUUAACUGCUGCUUUGCUGGGCAUAUACCAGGUACAGUUUUGCAAAGAAUUAUCGUUUAGCCUGAUUGUCACAAGAACAGCACGUGACAUAUCUCUGACAUACGUGAAAACCAGCAGCCACAUACUGUGAGAUCAUUUUUCCAAGUUUUGUCAGUUUUCAUGCAGGGCUUUGCUAGACAGCCAGAAACAACCAGAUGUUUUGAGAAGGAAUCCAAAAAUUGUUUUAUGAGGGAGAACAACAGGCCAGCUACCCCACGUCUCAGCAGAACAGCCUUGCUCUCCACAGCCUGCCCCACACAAGAUGCUAUUGCCAAAGUUUGCAUUUGCUUCUCUUAGAAAAAAGUUUGGAGUUCUCAGAUUGAAAAUGGGCCCCCUUGUUAUGUGAAUACACCAGCAGAAAUAAGGAGAGUUCAUAUUUUAAAAUAUAGUUUCUAAGAAUGUGUCAUCAGUUUGGAACAAAGUCUGAAACCCUGUCAGUCCCAGGGUGGUUUUAUCAGCAGAACUGAAGAUUAAUUCUGCAGCUGGGGCUCCCGAAUGAAUUAUGUUACUCUAAUGAAUCAUUCACUAAUUCCUAGUCCUCCCUUUCUUCAUCUCUGCCAUAUUUGGAUAGGUAACAGAAGAAUUCAAGGGGGAACUGGACAAUCUCUCUUGUUCAAUAUCCUUGUUUUGAUUUUCACAUGUUCCUCUUUCCAGAUGCUAACUCAUGACAUUGGUUAGCAACAGCAGUGGUGGCACAAACAGAAGCUGGAAGAGCAAUGUCAUUCUGACUUGGCUUUAGGGGAAAAAAAAAAAAA
ensembl:lncRNA